rnacentral:ncRNA from 2 species
CACUACCUCAACGGGUGCCCAAAGCAUUGGGCUGAGAUGAGCGCUGCAGCUGCGCCGGACCGUUUGAACCUGUCAGGUUAAUACCGUCGAAGGAAGCGAGGACAUUGGUGAAA